AGGAGAAAGGACUGGAGCUUGGAGUGUCAAACCAGCAGAGUUGUCCUGUGGAUAUAAGGACUUAUAAUCAAAAGACAGAGAAAUCUCUCUCAGGCAUGCACAGCUUUUGAAAAGAAUUCUGCAUCCUGCAAUUACAUGUGAAUUUCACAUUCUAUAGCCCAUUCCUGGCAUCGCCUUGACCUUAACGACUCCAGGUAGGAAAAUGGCCUUACAUCACUUCCACAUCGACCAGAAGAGCUGGCCAGGGGUACUGAAGAAGUUUGCUCCAUCCAAGACUGGGUGUAGAAAUAAACAUGUAGCCACUGUACAACACGGAAUUUUGAAAGGGAUUCUGCCUUCCUGAGGAACAAUCUCUGUGGAGCUAUUCCAGGGUGGCUUGACUCCACCCCACCUCAAAAACAGUCCUGUAGAGUUGAGCCGAUAGACUAGUUCACAAAACAGAGCAGGUCUCAAUAAUAAAAA